AUUGAACGCUGGCGGCAGGCCUAACACAUGCAAGUCGAGCGGAUGAAGGGAGCUUGCUCCUGGAUUCAGCGGCGGACGGGUGAGUAAUGCCUAGGAAUCUGCCUGGUAGUGGGGGAUAACGUCCGGAAACGGGCGCUAAUACCGCAUACGUCCUGAGGGAGAAAGUGGGGGAUCUUCGGACCUCACGCUAUCGGAUGAGCCUAAGUCGGAUUAGCUAGUUGGUGGGGUAAAGGCCUACCAAGGCGACGAUCCGUAACUGGUCUGAGAGGAUGAUCAGUCACACUGGAACUGAGACACGGUCCAGACUCCUACGGGAGGCAGCAGUGGGGAAUAUUGGACAAAGGGCGAAAGCCUGAUCCAGCCAUGCCGCGUGUGUGAAGAAGGUCUUCGGAUUGUAAAGCACUUUAAGUUGGGAGGAAGGGCAGUAAGUUAAUACCUUGCUGUUUUGACGUUACCAACAGAAUAAGCACCGGCUAACUUCGUG
rnacentral:rRNA from 1 species